rnacentral:rRNA from 1 species
GACGAACGUUGGCGGCGUGCUUAACACAUGCAAGUCGAACGGAAAGGCCCUGCUUUUGUGGGGUGCUCGAGUGGCGAACGGGUGAGUAACACGUGAGUAACCUGCCCUUGACUUUGGGAUAACUUCAGGAAACUGGGGCUAAUACCGGAUAGGAGCUCCUGCUGCAUGGUGGGGGUUGGAAAGUUUCGGCGGUUGGGGAUGGACUCGCGGCUUAUCAGCUUGUUGGUGGGGUAGUGGCUUACCAAGGCUUUGACGGGUAGCCGGCCUGAGAGGGUGACCGGCCACAUUGGGACUGAGAUACGGCCCAGACUCCUACGGGAGGCAGCAGUGGGGAAUAUUGCACAAUGGGCGGAAGCCUGAUGCAGCAACGCCGCGUGCGGGAUGACGGCCUUCGGGUUGUAAACCGCUUUCGCCUGUGACGAAGCGUGAGUGACGGUAAUGGGUAAAGAAGCACCGGCUAACUACGUGCCAGCAGCCGCGGUGAUACGUAGGGUGCGAGCGUUGUCCGGAUUUAUUGGGCGUAAAGGGCUCGUAGGUGGUUGAUCGCGUCGGAAGUGUAAUCUUGGGGCUUAACCCUGAGCGUGCUUUCGAUACGGGUUGACUUGAGGAAGGUAGGGGAGAAUGGAAUUCCUGGUGGAGCGGUGGAAUGCGCAGAUAUCAGGAGGAACACCAGUGGCGAAGGCGGUUCUCUGGGCCUUUCCUGACGCUGAGGAGCGAAAGCGUGGGGAGCGAACAGGCUUAGAUACCCUGGUAGUCCACGCUGUAAACGGUGGGUACUAGGUGUGGGGUCCAUUCCACGGGUUCCGUGCCGUAGCUAACGCUUUAAGUACCCCGCCUGGGGAGUACGGCCGCAAGGCUAAAACUCAAAGGAAUUGACGGGGCCCCGCACAAGCGGCGGAGCAUGCGGAUUAAUUCGAUGCAACGCGUAGAACCUUACCUGGGUUUGACAUGGAUCGGGAGUGCUCAGAGAUGGGUGUGCCUCUUUUGGGGUCGGUUCACAGGUGGUGCAUGCCUGUCGUCAGCUCGUGUCGUGAGAUGUUGGGUUAAGUCCCGCAACGAGCGCAACCCUUGUUCACUGUUGCCAGCACGUUAUGGUGGGGACUCAGUGGAGACCGCCGGGGUCAACUCGGAGGAAGGUGGGGAUGACGUCAAGUCAUCAUGCCCCUUAUGUCCAGGGCUUCACGCAUGCUACAAUGGCUGGUACAGAGAGUGGCGAGCCUGUGAGGGUGAGCGAAUCUCGGAAAGCCGGUCUCAGUUCGGAUUGGGGUCUGCAACUCGACCUCAUGAAGUCGGAGUCGCUAGUAAUCGCAAAUCAGCAACGCUGCGGUGAAUACGUUCCCGGGGCC